AGCAGUAGCCGCGGUAAUACGGAGGGUGCAAGCGUUAAUCGGAAUUACUGGGCGUAAAGCGCACGCAGGCGGUCUGUCAAGUCAGAUGUGAAAUCCCCGGGCUUAACCUGGGAACUGCAUUUGAAACUGGCAGGCUAGAGUCUUGUAGAGGGGGGUAGAAUUCCAGGUGUAGCGGUGAAAUGCGUAGAGAUCUGGAGGAAUACCGGUGGCGAAGGCGGCAACCUGGUCCGAUACUGACGCUGAGGCGCGAAAGCGUGGGGAGCAAACAGGAUUAGAUACCCGUGUAGUCCCUGUCUCUUAUAA
rnacentral:rRNA from 1 species